rnacentral:rRNA from 1 species
CAAUAGCGUAUAUUAAAGUUGUUGCAGUUAAAAAGCUCGUAGUUGGAUUUCUGGUGGGAGCGAUCGGUCUGGCGCUUAGCGCGAGUACUUGCAUCGUCUCCGGCCAUCCUUGGGGAGAGUCUGUCUGGCAUUAAGUUGUCGGGCAGAGGAUCCUCAUCGUUUACUGUGAAAAAAUUAGAGUGUUCAAAGCAGGCUUAUGCCGUUGAAUAUAUUAGCAUGGAAUAAUAAGAUAGGACUUUGGUACUAUUUUGUUGGUUUGCGCACCAAAGUAAUGAUUAAUAGGGACAGUUGGGGGUAUUCGUAUUCUGUUGUCAGAGGUGAAAUUCUUGGAUUUACGGAAGACGAACUACUGCGAAAGCAUUUACCAAGGAUGUUUUCAUUAA